AAGUGUUUGGAUUGCAGUGACUGGACGGCAAAAUUGGCAGCCCACUCAGCACACUCGCAUGUGUUCUGUCCAUUUUCAAGCUGGUUGCUUUCAGAAAAAGCAGCAGAAAAUGUAUUUGGCAAAUUAUUCAAUACCAACAUUAGCCGUUCAUGAUGUACCAGUUCAUUGUGACAAAGCUUCAUCUAGCGAAACUACCGAAGUUUUACCCAUGGAAUGCGAUAUUCAAGCAUCAAAUAAUCUAGCAGACACGAUGACACCAAGAAAGUUAAAGCUGACAAUGAAUUUACAAAGAAGAACGUUAAUAGCUGAAAACCGCAAGAAAAAAAUAGCCGCAUUGAGAUCAAAGACUCGAAGACUUGUAAAAAAAAUGCAGAAUUGACUGAUAUUAUAGAAAAUUUAAAAACAAAGCGAUUCAUCAACCAGGAAGCAGCGGAUUUACUUUCUGUGCUUAAUAAUGGCUCGGACUUCAUUAAGCCAAACAAAAGUAAAUUUUCACCCGAAGUGCGAAAAUUUGCUUUAAAUCUUCAUUUCAUCAGUCCACGCGCCUAUAAUCAUGUGCGCCAGCAUUUUAAAACUUGCCUGCCCCAUACACGUACAUUAGUACGUUGGUAUUCAACUGUAGAUGGUGAACCAGGAUUUUCAUCUGAAGCUCUUCAAGCUAUAGAAAAAAUUGCAAAAAAUAAUAUUUCGAAAAAACUGUUAUGCAGUUUGUGCUUUGAUGAAAUGUCAAUAAGAAAAUGUGUAGAGUGGCUGGUAGGGCAAAAAAAAAUGAGACAUGUAUAGGCUCCUUAGAGCAUUAAUUGACAAUUUGUAAGUACUAAUUUAAUUAGUGUAUGUAUACAAAUAAAGAUAAUUUUGAUUUAAUUUAUCCUCUAAACAGAACAUUCUGCCAAUAAUAAUAUUUGAAUCUGCGUGUAAUAAAUAUUUUUAUUUUUAAA